UCCUACGGGAGGCAGCAGUGGGGAAUUUUGGACAAUGGGGGCAACCCUGAUCCAGCAAUGCCGCGUGCAGGAAGAAGGCCUUCGGGUUGUAAACUGCUUUUGUACGGAACGAAACGGUCUGGGUUAAUACCCUGGGCUAAUGACGGUACCGUAAGAAUAAGCACCGGCUAACUACGUGCCAGCAGCCGCGGUAAUAAUCUC
rnacentral:rRNA from 1 species